rnacentral:tRNA from 1 species
UCCCUGGUGGCUCAGUGGUAAAGAACCUGCCUGCCAAUGCAGGAGACACAGGUGCAAUCCCUGAUCUGGGAA